AUGAAGGGGCGGGGUGGGAUCCCGGUUAAGCCGGGGCUGGAGCGGCGACAGUUUUGGCUAGUCUGAGAAGGGCAUUCGAGUGACCGUUGACAACGGGGGAGACAGCGUCAAGGCUGAAGGAAGAAACUUUAACUUUAUGCUUCCAGGACUACUAGCUAGCAUCCUUUAUUGCAGGGAACAUCUAGGAGGUACUGGGAUUUCUGGCGCUUUUUAAGUGAUGAAAGACAGAUUAAAGUCCACUGAACAAGGGGAAAACAAUAACAUUUGGCUUGGGAAUAAAAGUUCAUCUGGAGUAUGAAAAAUACUUUUCCUCAAGUCAGAGAAGAAGAUACGCUGAGACCUCAAAGAAAGGGAAAGCCGACUUAAUAUUUAAAUACUACCUACCAUUCCAUGGGGACUAGGAGCAGAAGUGUUUUAGGGUGUACACACAUGUCACUCUUCAUAUCAAGAGUUAGAGCUUAUUGCUGCUUUCCUUGAAAUUGAGAUGGCCUAUGACUGACUAGCUUCUACAAAUAGAAUGACAAGGCAGAAGGACAAUAUGAGACUUCAAAACUCAGAUCAAAGAGAACUGGAAGAUUCUAUUUGCUGCCUCCUGGAACUCAGCAACCAUGUUAUGAGAAGCCCAAGAUAGAUGGAGGAAUCACAAAAAUGAGAACCAAGGCAUUCUAGUUAUAUUGGGCACUAAUUGACACCCAUAUGAGUGUAUCUUUGUGGUAGCCAGUCUCUGAUAUGGCACCCAAUAAGGGUGCUUUCCUGUUAUUCAUCCUCUUAUGUAGACCCCUCCCACAUUGUACCAGUACUGGUUUAUAUGACCCAACUGAAUAUCACAGAAGUGAUCUGUCAUUUCCAACAUUACAAACUGUGCUGUGUUUUUCAUAUUGGUGGUCCUCUCAGAGACCACUCAGUUGGAAAAGCCAGUUGUCAUUUCAGCCUAUAUAUAAGCCUUUGUGGUGAGGAACUGAAACCUGCCUACAAAUCCUUAAGUGGAUCUACCAGACUUCAGAUGACUGCAAUUCAGCCGACAACUUGACUGUAAUCAAGUCAACCACCCAGAACCACCCAGAAUCAGAACCACCCAGCUAAGCUGCUCCCAGAUUCCUGACCACAAAAACUGUGCAAUAUACUUUUUUAUUAUCUUAAAUAAUAAGUUUUGGAGUAAUAGAUUACAUAGCAAUAAAUAACUAAUACAUCUUUCUUAGACAUACAGGUUAAAUUGAGCCCUCAGAUGAUUAUAGCCCCAGCAAAAGAAAGGAGCAAAAGAAACUGUCUAACCCAAGUUAGCAUAUACA